UCAGGCGCCUAGGCCCCAGCACAUCGCAUCUCCUCUAUUCUCCGGCCUUGGAGCAGCAGCUCGUGAUUUCAGCUCAAGGGCUCUAUGGAAGGGAGCAUUCGUCGAUGCUUUCCUGGCUAGAAUAAAGAAGAACAGAGAAAACAUGAAUGGGAAGAAGAUUUGGUCUCGUAGAUCUUCUAUUUUGCCGGAAUUUGUUGGUUCCACUGUGCUCAUUUACAAUGGGAAAAAUCAUGUCCGGUGCAAGAUCACUGAAGGGAAGGUUGGCCAUAAAUUUGGAGAGUUUGCUUUUACACAGAGACGAAGGCCCCAUCGAACAAUAACAGGAAAGGGAAAUCAAGGAAAGGGCAGAAAGUAAAAGUAGAAAUGUGCAUGAAAGGUGAGGUUGU